rnacentral:lncRNA from 1 species
GGGGAGCUGGGGACUGAACCCAGGGCCUUGCGCUUCCUAGGUAAGCGCUCUACCACUGAGCUAAAUCCCCAGCCCCAGCUUACUUGUUCUAGUCAGGUACCAGAAAGUCCUUGGGAAGCUUAUCCAGCAGAGUUUGUACUUUGUGAUGGGGCCCAAGUCCUUUGGGGUAGAGAUUCCAAGUUCAUUUAAACUUGGUCUUAUUUUCUGGCCAUGUACUGGGAUUUUUUAAAAAAUAAGCACGUGAUUGAAAACAAAAUACAGAAACAAAAUGGAUUAAAUGGUUAAUUGUCUUCCAGUGAUGGUGUCAGUUUUUACAUGUGUAGUAUAUGAGAGUGCCCCAUUUUCCCCCACUUUCUCAUUUUUGCAUAUUGCCGGUUUGGUGAGUGAAUAUCGAAUAGUAUUUUUGUGGUUUUUAAGUCUCAAUUAUUCCAUUUUAUGAUAAGUGAACUUUAGUCUCAUAUUUGUCCAGUAUAUAUCUUUUAUUGAAGUUUGCUUAUAUAGUCUAUUAGUGUUCAUUUUCUUUACAUUUACGAGGUUAACCUUAGUCUUAACAUAGUCCUGAAUUAUUCCCUCCACUUCACUGUAGUGCUGCUUCUGGUUUUGGUGCAAGCUAGUGAGGGGCGGGACUAGCAGAGGUUACCUGUCCACUCAGGAGUAACUGAAUUCCUAAGAUAAGCACAGUGUCGCAGCUUCCUCUAGCCCUUACCCCAUGCUGUGGUUUCCCUUCUGCUGGGGUAGCUUCCCUCAGGCCGAGGAAGGGCUUUGAGCUGUGAUGGGAGCUGUGCUGCAAAGGUUAGAGGCUCAGCGCUGAGCACACCCUGAACUUAUGCUCACACUGGUCUUGCUCUGAAGGUUUUAAAGUAGUUCACGUAGGCUGCAAAGAUCUUACAUGUUAAACUUUAAGGAGUAAUGUAUAUGCAAAAGUUUUAGAAUGUUAUCAUUUUCUUCAACAGUUUUACCAACCUUCAAUUCCAUACAGUGACAAUGUUUUCCUAUUAUGAAUGGCAGACUUGAGCACGUCUAUUUGUAAAGCCAGCUGAGAACUCUGGUGACACAGCAGAGGCUGAUCAACCUACCAAGAGCCCGGAAGUACAAAGAAGAACAAAAGUUUUGUUUUGUUUUUGUAAACUCGAAAGAAAAAAAACAAGUCCAGCAUUACGUCAGUGCGGUAUCUGUUCCGCUGUGAGCGGUAACCUUCUAGCCCAUCAGCGAAGGAGGAGGAGAGCUCCCACCUUGCCUUACAAACCUUGCUUUUCCAUGUUCAUGCAAUAAACACGUUUGGCUUCUUGGUAGCACUUGUGGUUUUAUUCCAGGGAUUUCAGAGGUAAAAGCUUGAAUCUGUCAUUUCCAUUCUGCUGUUUCACUCCCACCCUGUAUACUGUUCAGACUGGUGGGAACACAUUGAGG